CCGUGAAGACUUUUAAAAUAGAGACCAACGUGGCCGGGCAGGAAGAGCAGGGUCCCGCCUUCAGGUGUUUGGGACUCAGCUGAGGGUGUGGGUGCCCCGCGGUGGGGGCUGAACCUUCCUGGGGUGUGGAGAGACGAAAGGAGCCCAGAUCCAAGUUCCCUCGUUCCCGCUUUGGCAUAAGUUGCCCUGGCGGUCUCAUGAGAGAGAGAAAGAGCUGGGACCCUCCUCGCCCCAGUGAGUGUGAUGUCUUGCUCCGGGUGUCCUGGGGCAACUUUCUAUACAGGCGGGACGUGGGAGGAUCAGACAGUGUAACAUCAGACAAGGGUGUUGACUCUGCAGCACAGAACCAGUAGUUUGUGGAGAAGAAUGGAGGUGUGGUGUUGAAUCUGCUAGACAGGCUACUGAAGCAAAAGUCAAGAGAUCCAGAUUCCAUCAUGGGGACACUUUAGUUCUUCAUCGGGUAAUUGAGCUGAUAUCAGGUGUCUGAAGGAGGCAAGUUUUGAAGAUGUGGGUCAUGAUGGCUGCUGAAGCUUCCACUCCAUAUUUGAAGGUCAGCAGUUCUCAGGAAACCUCUAGCACUUCCAUCCCUGGUGGGAUGUGAUGCCUGUCUCAGUGUAACAUCAGAGAAGGGGUGUACUCUGUGCCCUAGAACUAGGAGCUAACAGAGAAAAACCAAAUGUGAUGUGGAGUCUGCUAGACAGGCUACUGGAGCAAGAGUGAAGCGAUGAAAGUCUCAUCAUUGGGACAUAUUAGGGAGGCAGCAGGUGGCUGAAAUCCUGGUGUGAUGUGGCUGGAUCAUGCAUGAUCUGAGGACUCCUGCACAGGUGACUGCAGGAUGAGUACAGAAUUUUUCUAUAAAUAUACUAAAAUACCAAGUAAGCCAGGAGCAGCCACUAGGCAAACACCAAACCUUGCAUUCCUGGCCAAACCUAUCACAGAGCUCAUCAGAUGCAGUGGAUCCCCAGGUUGCAAGUCAUAUAACCUGAGCAUGCCCAGAUGAACCAAGUAUGCCUGAUUGGUGAACCUGGAACUGGCCAGAACAGAAAAUGUCAACCACAUGUGGAAUCUAAGUAUUCAGAUUGAGAAAUGAGGACCAAAAUGAGAACACUGAGCUCCUCACACAGGUGACUGAACCCGUGGUUUUGGUGUCUGAGAAGAUGCAGCUUCUCCAGUCUCUGCAACUGACGGCAGGAAGAUGGGAGCACUCAGCUUCAGUGUUCAGAAGCAGAUUUAGGCCAAUUGCCAUACCUUACGUUCUGGAGGGAUCCACCCUGACCUGAGCAGAAGGCAUCACACACAUUCCCAAGCAGCAUGGUUCCCGUGAGAAACUGAAAACUAAUUUCUUGAAUCUACAAUGCGA
rnacentral:lncRNA from 1 species